rfam:Oryza glaberrima chromosome 10 Oglab10_0095_8, whole genome shotgun sequence.
UUUAAGUGUAGCUAUUAUUUUCCACGUCCAACUUUGAUCGUCCGUCUUAUUUGAAAAGUUUUUGAAAAAAAUAAAAAACAUAAGUCACGAGUAAAAUACGAUUUAUGUUUUAUUAUCUCAUAACAACAAAAAUACUAAUUAUAAAAAAAUUUCAAAUAAGACAGACGAUCAAAAUUGAGUAUGAAAACUCAUAGUUGCAAUUAAA